GGUGGAAUGGCAUAGUGGUUAUUGCGUUGUGUUCAGGUAUCUUCGGUCCUUGCUAAGAGCAUGGACAAAAAUCGCAAUCUCUUCGGAGGCGUGGGUUCGAGUCCCACUUCCAUCA